GACGAACGCUGGCGGCGUGCUUAACACAUGCAAGUCGAACGGAAAGGCCCUGCUUUUGUGCGCUUCUCGAUUGGCGAACGGGUGAGUAACACGUGAGUAACCUGCCCUUGACUUUGGUAUAACUUCAGGAAACUGGGGCUAAUACCGGAUAGGAGCUCCUGCUGCAUGGUGGGGGUUGGAAAGCUUCGGCUGUUGGGGAUGGACUCGCGGCUUAUCAGCUUGUUGGUGGGGUAGUGGCUGCCCAAGGCUUUGACCGGUAGCCGGCCUGAGAGGGUGACCGGCCACCUUGGGACUGCGAUAGGGCCCAGACUCCUAUGGGAGGCAGUAGUGGGGAAUAUUGUACAAUGGUCGGAAGCCUGAUGCAGCAACGCUGCGUUCGUGAUGACGGCUUUCGGGUUGUAAAACGCUUUCGCUUGUGACGACGCUUUAGUGACGGUAAUGGGUAAAGAAGCACCGGCUAACUACGUG
rnacentral:rRNA from 1 species